rnacentral:tRNA from 1 species
UCCUUGAUAGUUAAGUGGUUAGAACUCAGCACUGUCAUUGCUUCGGCCUGGGUUCAGUCCCUGGUCUGGGAA